UACGUAGGGUGCAAGCGUUAAUCGGAAUUACUGGGCGUAAAGCGUGCGCAGGCGGUUCGCUAAGACAGAUGUGAAAUCCCCGGGCUUAACCUGGGACUGCAUUUGUGACUGGCGGGCUAGAGUAUGGCAGAGGGGGGUAGAAUUCCACGUGUAGCAGUGAAAUGCGUAGAGAUGUGGAGGAAUACCGAUGGCGAAGGCAGCCCCCUGGGCCAAUACUGACGCUCAUGCACGAAAGCGUGGGGAGCAAACCAGG
rnacentral:rRNA from 1 species